GUAGGUGAACCUGCGGAAGGAUCAUUAAUGAUUUUUUUAAGCAAACCAAGCGAAAGCGAGGUUUUGCGAAUAUAUUUAAAACUCCCACUCUUUAUAAAAGAAAAAAUUUUCAUAUUCAUAAUGAAUAAAAAAAAAGAUCACUUUCAACAACGGAUCUCUUGGCUCUCGCAUCGAUGAAGAACGCAGCAUCUGACUGACUCGACAGCUG
rnacentral:misc_RNA from 1 species